UCGGAGUUGCUAGUAAUCCCGAAUCAGCAUGUCGGGGUGAAUGCGUUCCCGGGUCUUGUACACACCGCCCGUCACGCCAUGGGAGUCGGGAGUGCCCAAAGUCGGUGACCUAACCGCAAGGAAGGAGCCGCCUAAGGUAAUGCCGAUGACUGGGGUGAAGUCGUAACAAGGUAUC
rnacentral:rRNA from 1 species